rnacentral:misc_RNA from 1 species
AAGGAACAAAAAAGCAGUUUCUUUGUUCAUCAUAACAGAUCACACACAAUUUAGCAUCGUACAAAUCCUCUGAAGAAGUACUAGAUGAUCCAUCUUCUUCAUCUUCUUCAUUGGUUCCAUAUGUGAAAGGAACUGGCUUUUGUGGCAAUAUAGGUUCAGUCUCAGAAACUUGCCUUGGUGCUGUAUCUACCAUAUUACCCUCAGAAUCACAGGCUCCAAGAUAUUUCAAAACCAGGAAAAUGAUAACAAUUAUAAAUCCUAAAAUAGCAAUGUAAGUUAUUACUCGAGCUACAAAAGAUAGCUCAAUGUACCAUCCACCUAGAUCCCCAUUAUCAGGUGUGGUUACUACAACAUAUUGAGCCUUUGGAAAUGGAAGCAUGAGACGGCAUGAUCCCUUUAUUGUUGAGCAGAUGUUCCUCGCUUUCGAAAGAUCAUAGAGUUUUGAUCUAACAUUUACAUCUACUUUCAUUAUGAUGCUUCUGGGAUUUGUGUUUACCAGACCAAGAUAGUACUUGUCAUCCUCCUGGAUAGUGUACUCAGCAUCUUUACCAUUUAAGGGUUUACUGAGAUUAAGGGUGUCAGGGGAAGUCGUCAACGUAGGCAGCAGAGUUUCAUACUUGCGUUCUCCUUUAAUCAAAACCACUUGAAGUUGAUUUAAAGUACUAGUUUGAGUUUCCCAUCUCAUACGGAUCCUUGAACCCUUGUUCAACCACAGAGAAAAUCCCUUUCGACUGUAAGACGCAACAAUCAUAUAAUCUGAUACGCUCCAAUUGGUUUCGAAACUCAGUUCUGGCUUCUCAGAGAACCCAUAUAGAAGAACCCCUUUCUUAUCAUCGUCUCUCACUUCAACCUGCUCUACAAACACAGAACUUGCCUUCAUCAAACGUGAUGAGCUAGGUCCGAGCACCAUAUGGCGAUCAGCAUAAUAACCAUAUCGCAAACUCACUGAAACACAUAUCCAUAGAGUCAAGGGGACAAGUAAGCGUCCCCAGGAUUCUUUCCAUCGCCAAGAAUAGAUAGGAGCUGGUGGCAACACCGGCCUGAACAUGGCUGCUUCGAGCAGAAUGAAUGGAC